rnacentral:tRNA from 1 species
GCCUUUGAUUUUAAAGGAAAAGGCACAGACUUCUAAUCUGUAGGUUGCAGGUUCGAGUCCUGCAGGGAUCGCCA